rnacentral:lncRNA from 1 species
UUUCAUUUCUAUGCACACUCUACAUUGUCGAGCAGUUAAGCGAGUAUAUGAAAAAAGAGCAAGGUAGAUACAGAGACGAAACAAAUUUUAAUAAAAUGUUUAGAUAAAGCGGAGAAAACUAGACCUUUAUUUGAUAAGCUGGAUUAUAAUAAGUUAGCUGUUUUUUGCGAAGGUAAAAAAAAAAAAAAAAAAAAAAAAAAUAGGAACAGCUUGUACAGUAUAGGUAUGAUAAUAUAUAUAUAUAUAUAUAUAUAUAUAUAUAUAUGCACAAUUGCACCGUUUUAGGCCUAUUUGCAGCAGCUGAUAAAAAUGAUCGCACCAAUAAAAUAGAUAAAAGAACAUUAAGGAUGUUUUUUUCAUGUAAAAUUUUUUAUGAAAUAUUAAAUCAUUUUAGAACAUUAAAUGAAGAAGAAAAAAAAAAAUUGAUAUAUGCGAAAUAUAAAACUGUAUAUAUUCAAAAGUGUUUUGAAAAUAAUAUAGAGCCAAAGCCAGGUUCUCCAGUACGAGAAACAAAAGAAGAGUCCAGUUCAGAUUCAGAAAAAAAUAGAUAAAUCAAAUGUUAAUGAAAUAGAAAUGCCAAGGAUAUACGAUAAUAUUUGGAAUGAUGAUUAUAACACAUAUAAAAUCGAACAAAAUAAUUUUACAAAGGACCAAUAUGAAAUUACACCAAGUUAAAACAAUAUAUGUGUAUAUAUCUAUAUAUAUGUGUAAAUGUACUUAUACGUGUAUACACAUAUGUUCGUUUUUUUUUUUUUUUUUUUUUUUAUUGUCUUAACAGGUAGUAAUAAAAUUAGUGACAAACAAAUAGAUUUUACGUUA